rnacentral:lncRNA from 1 species
GGGCUAAGUGGUCAACAGGUGGUGGUGGUGGUAGUGGGUUGUUGUUGUUGUUGUUCCCCUGAUUCUGAUUUUGGACUAGCAACUGCAUCAAUGUGUUCUGCUGCUGGAUCAACUGGGUGAGCUCCGGUGGAAAGGAAAAUCCGGGGUCACGUCUCGGAGGCAUCUGAGGGUUUAGAAAAGAUGAGAUAUAAGAAUAGAGGGGGUCUAAAGAAGAAACACUACCCAUAUGCACAUGAGGCAAAAGCAACCAAUUCACUUCAUUCAAACAAACAAAGGCAUACAAUCGAUCUAACUAUCGCAAAGUGCUCGGACUACUAUAUUUACAUGGUGGACUACUACUACUGAUGAGGUGGUCUACUAGAAAUAUUCUACGGUUGUAGACUCCAUGAUAUCUGCUCCUACUUCAUCAACAUAGUCAUCAUCGCUACUAUCUGCUUCCGAGUCGGUGCCGUCGAUGAUGAUGUAGUCUUCCAGGCUAAUCUCCUUGGGUUCUUCGUCUUCAUCUACUGGUGUCGGGCCUCCCAUAAAUACUGCUAGCUUCAUAGUUAGGUCGGCAUUCUUAUCCACCAAUACUUCUAUUUCUUCUUCAUAACCUUCAGGUGUAGCCUUGAGUUCUUCCUCCAGUUCAUUGAUUCUAGUCUUAGCCUUCUUCAGAUCUAUCAUGUCGGCACACAUCUGAUUCUCCUGUCGUCGAAUGUGCUGGUUGAACUCCUAGAUAAAAGCUGCAAUUGAUCUAUCCUUCCUGGUGCUAAUCAUCUCCCAAUGUUCAUCUCGGCGCCCACAAAUCUGGUAGAUAGUAUCCUUGAGAUCCUUGCGGAAGACUUCUCCAAUGCGUCCCAUGGCGAUGUGAGCUGCCAUACUCUUUCCUAGACUCCAAGUUGGUGCGUCAAAAUAAAACUCUAUGGGUUUAGUGACUGGCAUGAACGUCCUUCCUGGAACUUGAACUUGAAUCAUGCAGCGCUCUUCUUCAGGUAAAGUGGCAUUGUAGGUUCCCGUGAAGCUUGGUACUCAUAUGUUCAGGUAUCUAGUGACUUCCUUCAAGUGGCGUCCAAAGGGUGUAUCUUCGUCCGGUUGGGUGAACUUGUUCCUUGCAUCCGCCAUCCUAAAGAGUAGAAAAGAUGAGAAGUCAGAAGAGAAGAGAGUGAGUAGUGAUCUAGGUCUUUAGCUUAGGGUCGUGUCCUACAGUCACCGUGUGCUCUGAUACCAUCUCUGUAGCGACCAGACCUCAAACAGUCUGAUCUCUGUGCUCCGGUGUCAUCCCUGGAUCAGUAAUGCUGACACCACACAAUACUCGGAGGAUUUAUAGCAGAGUAGCAAUCACACACUUAUUACAUUGAGUGUCUCAAAAGAGAAAUUAUUACAAUGAAUAUGGCUUAAGGCCAUCUAAUAACGAUAACAUCGGAAGGCUUGGAAGAUAAGUGAGUCCAUCAACUCCAACAGCAUCACUGAGUAUAGAACCACGACCUAAAACUCCUUAAUCGUCGUCUGAAAAGUGUGCAACAUUAACGUUGCAGCCCGAAAACGGGUCAUCACAUGGAAUAUGCUGGCAAGGUAACACAUAGAGAGUAAUGGAAUGAAACAGCUAUUCUAUAUGCAUAUUUGGCUGGUGGAAAGCUCUAUGGUUACAGUCUUUUUUUUGCGUAAAGCCAAUUUUUCCCUACUUCAAAGCAAUAAAUUUCAUUUAACUAUCAGGGUGGUUGUUAAACAUUGAGAAUGGUUGACAGCAUUCUCAAUCCCAAUUAAAUAACAUCAUUAAACCCAACAAAAUUUAUUUAAAGUAACAUGUUGAGAUUCACAUGAUAAUCCAGGUACUAGAUACUCAAGAUGUCCAUAACCGGGGACACGGCUAACCAUGAUUUGUUUGUUACACUCUGCAGAGGUUUGCGCACUUUUCCCCACAAGACUCGAUCGCCUCCGUUGGAUUUCUCGCACUACAUGGUGUUUGAGAAACGGAUGACCGAGACACAGUCUUUCAGAAGCACUAGCACCUUACGAUGGAUAGACCGGUACACCUACUUUCCCCUACAUCUGCUAGUCUACCCUGUAAGAGUUCGCACGACUUACUCAACUAUGCCAGAGCCCAUAAUGGCUUGUGGCUACACACGGAAGUUUCUAGUAUGAAUAAUCUCAUGAUCCCUUUGAGCUUGGGUGGCGGUCCAAAAGAAAAACAGGCAAGUCCUGGAAUACCCAGGUGCCUCAGUCCACCCAGAUGUGUGUUUAAGUUGCCACCUUAGAUAAACCCUUAAUUAUCAAUCUCACAUCUGUCAUGGACAUCACUCACCUAAUCCACGUCUACUAGCAUAGCAUGGCAUAAUAAGCAAACGCAGAAGUAACUCCCAAAGGUUUGACAAUAAACAGGUAAUAGGUACUACCUCAUCUACUUCCCAUCCCACAGUUUAAUUAGAUCCUAAUCAUGCAAUGUGUGAGGAUUGAUCUAAUGCAAGAAAAACUGGGUUGUAUAAAAGGUAUGAUCAAAGUGUUACUUGCCUUGCUGAUGAUCCGCGAAACCUAGCGAUUCGAAGAAACAGGCGGCACACUCCGGGUACUCUAUCGCAGACAAACAAACAAGCAUACAAUAAGUACUCAUCUAAUGCACAGGUAAAACUCAAAUAAGAGAUUUAACCAGAAGGUUCAACUUAAGAACUCCGGUUGGAAAAAGAAAUCAAUCGAACGAAGCAAAGAAAGUCAAACGGCGAAAGAAAACAACUUUGUUCUAGUAAUCUGAAUCUAAUUCAAAUUUUACAGUAGCAAAAACUUGUUUGAGUUGAUUAUUCGAAUAGAGGGUUUCGAGACGAAACUCGAGGCGCUUGAAUCGCCUGAUUCCGAUAAACGAGCGAAAAGAUAAACUGAAAUGAAAAUCAGAUCAGGAAUCGCGAUCAGAAAAAUCGCGGAUUUAAUCCGACGAAAAAGGAAAACGACGAACGGAUUUUUUUUAAAUGGCACGGAAAACGAGGCGGCGGCGAACCUCGGGCGGCGCGCGGCUCCGGCGGGGCGGCGGCGGCAGCUGGGCUGGGGCGCUAGGGUUAUGGGGCUGGGGCGGCUGGGCUCUCGGGCCCCGGGGCGGCGCCUUAUAAAGGCCUCGGCCAGGCGGAGUCCUGGCCGAGUACGGCCCAAAGACGGUUCCUUUUUUUUAUGCUCGGAAGAAAAAUAAAAAGAAAUACUAAACGGACUCCAAAAAUCCUGAAAUAAAUUUUACCGGGCUUCUAGAAUCAAGCCCGACAAAGUGAACAUUUAUUUGGGACCUAAAUGCAAUUUUGAAAAAUGCGCAUUUUUCCUAAAUUCAAAUAAAAAUAUCAAAAAAACUCCGAAAUUUUUUAUUAGACCUUCAAUAUUUCUAUAUUUUGGGAAAGUCAUUUUAGUCCCUCUCGCAUAUUUUUGUAAUAGAAAUAAUUGAUGAUAAAAUAAAUAAAAUCAAAUGAUCCUAUGCUCAAAAUUUGAGAAAACUCAAAUGUGAGAAUAACGAAAUCCCCAACUCUCUCCGUGGGUCCUUGAGUUGCUUAGAAUUUUCUAGGAUCAAAACCCAAAAGCAAAUAAAAUAUGAUAUGCAUGAUGAUCUAAUGUAUAACAUUCCAAAUUGGAAUUUUGGGAUGUUACAGUUACCAAAGAUUGGUUUGAUGAAAACCACAAGGGAGCGAAAACCAUGAAAAUAGAUAGGUGGAGGGUGUAAGGUUGGACAAAGGGAUGGUGAGGAGAAAAUUAAGUGAAAGAUAUAACCUUAGAUUCUUUUCAAGUAGUGGAGAUUUUUCAGCCCUUUCUUAAAUUGGUAAAUAAGUAUGUGCCCAUGAUUAAUCUACUUUAUUGGGUUACCAAAUGAUUGGAUUGAUCUAGUUUAUUGGGUUACCAAAGAUUGGUUGGAUGAAACAUGAAAAAGAGGAAAAAAUCGAUGGAGGGUGGAAGGUUGGAGGAGGGAUGGUUGGGGAGAAAACUGAGUGAAAAUGGAUCCUUAGGUUCUUUUUAAGCAGUGGAGAUAGAGAUAAACAACUUUUUGUUACAAAAGCAUGGAGUGCACAAUAAAUAUAAAAAGGGGGACAUAUGUGGUUGUGAAAAAAGCAACAUACUAAGUGAUGACUCACAAGUAUAGGGGAUCGUGAUAUUCUUCGAGGGAAGUAUUCCCAAAUUUAUUGAUUAGUAGGGGAUUCAAAGAAUAUUUGUAAGCUUUAGUAGUUGAGUUGCCAAUUCCUGGAAAGAUAACUUUCUUACAACGAUUUAUUAGUACUCCCUCUGUUCCUAAAUAUUUGUCUUUCUAGAGAUUUCAACAACUGACUACAUACAGAUUAAAAUGAGUUUACCUACACUCUAAAAUAUGUCCAUAUACAUCCGUAUGUGGUAGUCUAUUUGAAAUCUCUAAAAAGACAAAUAUUUAGGAACGGAGGGAGUAGUAUAGCAAUAUGAUAGUAAUAGUGAUACUAACAGCAACAGUAAUAGUAACAAGUUUGCAAAGCAGUAACAAAGUGCAGUAGUAGUGAUUUUAGCGAAAACAAUAAUAGCAAAAGCAUAGUCAUGAAGUAACACUAAAAAAAUACACUUUCGUGAUGAUACGUGUUUGUCACGGUAGGUCACGUUUUCUGUCAUGCAUGUACAUCCAUGACAAAUUUAUGACAGAAUCAAGAUAGUCAUACCUGAGCUGUCGUAGAAGUGUUCCAUGACAUUACCAAAAUUAUCAUCACGGAAGUGUCCACUUCCAUGACGGUAAAUCGCGCAUCACAGAAGUGCUUUCGUCAAGGGUGACCGACACGUGGCAUCCACCAUAACAGAACAUCGAUAACCCGUUAACAACCCAGACCAAUGGGAUUUUCCAUGUGUAAAAUCAUCAUUGGCUGGAGGAAACACCUGUCGGCUCACCGUUGGGACAGAUGUCAUUCACUUAUUGGACCCAAAGCGCCUAUGAUACUCGACAUGUGGCACGGCCCAACAGAGGCCGAUUCCUGUGAAAAGGCCGGUCCGCUUGACUUGGUCAAAAGGUUGAGGGCCGGCCCACGGCAAGCCCGUUAAUGGCCUAUUCGCAUAUAGCCCAUUUACAUCCCGCUAACCCAGGGCCCGUUUACGGCCUAUCCGAAUUAGGCCCAGUAGCAUCAUAUGGGCUGUCCAAUAUAAUUCCGGCCCGUUUUAACUUCCGGCCCAUGUAUGGCCCAUGAUGUCUUUUGGCCCAUAUGAGGCCCUUAGUAACCCUCGGCCCAUUAAUGGUCCAUGGUAAAACUGGCCUGUAAUGAACAGUGUAUCACUUUAUACCCAUUAACGACCCAUUAUUCCGUUGGGCCAUUUCCAGUCCAUGUUGUCUUUCGGCCUUCUCAGGGCCCAUUUAUUCUUGGGCUCAUUUCCGGCAUUCGUUUACUUUCGGCCCGUUACUGUCAUUUUCUGCUUGUGGGCCAAAUACAGCCCGUGGUUAUAGUUGGUCUGUUUGUGGCCCGUUAAUACGUUGGGCCAUUUUCAUAGCGUCAUUAAAUACAGCCUAUUAACGACGGCCCGUUAUGGUCGGCCCAUGAACAAAUGACUUCAACUCUAGCCCAUUUACGACCAUAAUGUGGUCUGUUAUUGGCCCAUGUUUGGCCAACCGAUCAUACGGCCCAUAGAAGGCCCAUUGAUGAUACGGCUCGUAGAAGGCCUAUUGUGUAUACGCCCUGUAGAAGGCCCAUUGUUCCUACGGCCCGUAGGAGGCCCAUGUUAACUACAGUAAAUAUGUAGCCCAUUGUUAAUGUGGCCUAGUUUUUAAAAAAUAGGUUAUUGCAGCCACUAGCAAACCGCGGAAAAGAACUGCACUGACUACAAGAAAACAAAUAAACAAGACAACGGAAAUAAAUAAGCAAGCAACUUACGCUAGGCUAUCAUGGCUAUUACACAUAUUACAUCCACUGGGCAUCAAAGUUCACCACAAGUGCAAAUAUAGGGAACAAAGCAGCAUAUAAACGCCGCAAAAAAACAAGUCCAGAACUGAAACCACUUCAGAAGAGCUCAAGAAACAAUAUCAUGGGCACCCAUAAUGCUGGCAAGAUGCUUAGCAAGCUUAUUAACUUUCUCUUGUUUGGUGCUUAAAUCCUCCAGCACUUGCUAUUGCACCAGAAAGUAAAUCUGAAUUCUGCAGGGACUUCCUCAGUCCUUCGGCUUCCUGUCGCAUAACAUCUGAUCGAUGUCUUUUAACUUGAAGUUGAGACUCAAGAAGCCGAACUGAUUCAGGCAGCGAGUUCGAAGAGCUGGUGCCAGCAGUAGUAGCCAGUAACUCGAACACUACAUCAAGACAGGACUUUGGGGUUGUCUCAGUGUCUUCAAUAUAGUUUUUAUCAACUUUCUUGGAGAACCACGGGGAUGUCUCACUAUCUUGAACCUGAUUUGCAUUAAUUCCUUUACCAUUGCAUAACGGGGGUACUCUUCUCCAAUAUUUUAUCCGCGUUCUAAAGGAGAAACACACAAACACAUCACAGGUUUACAAUGAAGUAUAUGAAACUCAUUUUGGUAAACCAGUUCAGUAGUAAGGUGGACAGGAUAACAUCAUGAAACAAACAUAUAUCUAUGUAAUAUGAUCACUGUAUGGUCUAUAUCAUUCUAGUUUAUGUUGCCAAAUCAAGAUAGAUAUAGUUCGAAUCAUAUCUAUUUAAGACAAAGUAGCAUAGAAAGAAUAUAAGUGUGGGAAACUACACAGCAAUAACAACACUUGUAAUGUGCAUUGCGUGAGAACAUAACUGUUUAUUCAAUUGAAACUGAAAUCAACAUAGAGCAAGUUACAACAGCAAACACGUUAAAGAAACAGGUUUAAAACAUACCUGUUGCGCCAUUGGAGUUUCAAUUGCAUCCUUCAAAUUUGAAAUUAGUUGGUAUGAGUAGAUACAGUGAUGCAAGAGCAAAGUAGUAUGAACCAUAGCUAGGGAACCUGACCUGAGAACAAUUCUUCUUCUACUUUAAGCGUUGACUUGGGGUUCGGAGUUGUGGUCCUCGUGCUUUGGGCACUACAGUUGCCUUACUAACUACUCAUGUUUGGGUGCUCUGUGGUGGAGACGGUGCUGUGUCAAUGGGAACUGGGUUACUAUCUCCUGGGGUUGGGGUUAGAAGGGGUGUAGCUCGUUCUCUUUCGAACUAGGUAGGGGUACAAUCUGCGUGAGUCUGGGUUAUGUGUGGUGGGGCUGGUUCUUGGGCAAGUACAAAUGUGGUUCUAUCGCCAUCAACAGGUAGCACGAUCUUUUCUAAAGACCGUGUUUUUUACUCCCACAGAUACUGCCAUCACCCCAUCCAAUUGAAAUGGCUGAUAAAGAAGAAAAGUAAUUGAAUGUACAGACAUUGUAAGAUAGACAGGUGCAAUGGAUACUAGGGAAGAAAACAGGGCAUGAAAUAAUUCAUAUUUAUGUUGUCUAACCAAACAGAAUAGCAAGACAUAAUUUCAAAUAUAUGAUGGCUAAUUAAACAGGAUAGCAUCACACAAUUUCGCAUGUAUGAUGGCUAACUAAACAGGAUAGAAUGACAUACUUCAAAAUAUGAUGACCAUGUAAAUAGGAUGACAUGAUAUAACUAUACGAUGUGUCUAUUAAAGUGGUUGGCAUGCCAUAAAUCACAAACAUGCCGUCGAUGGAAACAUGAUGGCAUGAUAUAAUUCAUGGAUAGAAUGACAUAAUUCAAAAUAUGAUGACUAUGUGAACAGGAUGAGAUGAUAUAACUAUAUUAUGUCUUUAGAAAAUGGGUUGGCAUGCCAUAAUUCAGAUACAUGCUGUCUAUGUAAACAUCAUUGCAUGAUAUAAUUCAAAUAUAUGAUUUAUAUACUAAGGAGUGAGCAGAGGGAAAUGGCAUAUAUGAUGUGUCAACUAAGGAGAUGGCAUUGAAUAUCGUGUAUAUGAUGUAAAAACUAAGCAUUGCAAUACAACAUAUGCAUGAUAUGAGUAAUAUAGCCCCGCCAAGUUUGAGCAUACACCUCAGGGGGAUAAUAGGACUGGUCAUCUGCCUCUGAAUCCUCCCGUGAAGAGCUAUCUAUAACCAGCAACAUAUCUACUUCACCAGGUAGCAUUCUCUGCUCUAAAGACCUUGUUUUCACUCCAGAUUUCUCCAUCACCAAUUCAAAUGGCUGAUGCACAGGAAGAGCAGUUGAAUAUACAAACAUUGUCAACAAAAGCAAUGAGAAAUACAAAAAAAGGAUGGCAUGAUAUAAUUCACACAUAUGACGCUUGGCUAAACAACAUGGCAUUGCAUAAUUCACAUAUAUAAUGCCUUGCAACAAGAUAGCAUUGCAUAAUUCACAUAUAUAAUGUCUUGCAAAAAUAUGGCAUGGCAUAAUUCACACAUAUGGUAACUAGACACUAAACAGGUGGCAUUCCCACAAAUCAUGUCUAAACUAACCAAAUGACAUAGCAAUGCAAGAUACCAUACACACGAUAUGAGCAACAUAACCCUGCCAAGUUAGAGCAUGCACCUCAAGAGGGGGGGGGGAUAGGACCGGUCAUUUUUCUCUGAAUCCUCCUCUGAGGAGCUAUUUGUAACUAGCAAGACAUGCGCUUCGUUGGAUAGCAUUGUCUUCUCUGAAGACCUUGUUUCCACACCAUAUUUUUCCAUGACCAUGCCGAAUGGCUAAUGCACAGGAAGAGUAAUUGGAUGUACUCAAAUUGUUGACAAAUUUAACACGUAAUAAAAAAUGAUGUCAUGAUAUAAUUCACAUAUAAGAUGACUGGCUAACAAGGGUGGCAUUGCAAAAUUCACAUAUAUGAUGCCUAGAUAAACAAGAUGGCAUUGCAUGAUUCCUAUAUACGAUCAAGAAACUAAACAGAUGGCAUUGACACAAAGCAUGUCUAAACUAAGCAGAUGACAUCUUUUAUGUAUACAGUAAGCAAUGCAAGGCACCAUAUGCAUGAUAUUACCAACAUCAGCAUGCCAAGUUAGAGCGAAGACCUCAUGGGGUAAAUAGGUGUGGUCUUCUACUUCUGAAUCCCCCUCAGAACAGUUAUCUUCCUCUUGAUUACGAUCCGAAAUGGGUGGAGGGGGGCUGCCUUUGCUCCCACCAUGGAGCGAUGUCUGCAUGAAAUGUUAUUGCCACGCAAGGCUCGUCUCUUUUUCUCUCCAUGUUCAGUUCCAUUGUGUACAAUAACUGACAUGCAUAGGAAUAAAAGAUAGUGAUUGUGGGAGUCCUGGAUUAGGGGGUCUCCGGACAGCCGGACUAUAUCCUUUGGCCGGACUGUUAGACUAUGAAGAUACAAGAUUGAAGACUUCGUCUCAUGUCCGGAUGGGAUUCUACUUGGCGUGGAAGGCAAGCUAGGCAAUACAGAUAUGUACAUCUCCUCCUUUGUAACCGACCUUGUGUAACCCUAGCCCUUUCCGGUGUCUAAAUAAACUGGAGGGUUUUAGACCGUAGGACAACAUACAAUCAUACCAUAGGCUAGCUUCUAGGGUUUAGCCUCUCCGAUCUCGUGGUCGAUCAACUCUUGUAAUACUCAUAUCAUUAAGAAUAAAUCAAGCAGGACGUAGGGUUUUACCUCCAUCAAGAGGGCCCGAACCUGGGUAAAACAUCGUGUCCCCUGCCUCCUGUUACCAUCGGCCUUAGACGCACAGUUCGGGACCCCCUACCUGAGAUCCGCCGGUUUUGACACCGACAUUGGUGCUUUCAUUGAGAGUUCCUCUGUGUCGUCGCCGUUAGGCUUGAUGACUCCUACGAUCAUCGAUAGCGAUGCAGUCUAGGGUGAGACUUUUCUCCCCGGACAGAUCUUUGUGUUCGGCGGCUUCGCACUGCGGGCCAACUCGCAUGGCCAUCUGGAGCAGAUCGAAAGUUACGCCCCUGGCCACCAGGUCAGGUUUGUAAGCUUAAACUACACGUCCGACAUCCGUGGAGACUGGAUCUUCGACGGAUUCGAGCCCCUAGCUUGUGUGCCGCGCAGUCAUGAUGAGUAUGAUUUAGCUCUAUCAUCGGACCGUAUUCAGGAGAUCGCACCGGCAGCCGCCCCGAGCCUCAAUUCGGAGCUAGUCGCGCUAUCCAUGGACGGGUGGAUGGACCACGUCAUGGAGGCCGUACCCUCAGGGGUGAUCGAGCCAAAUAUCGACCUUACCCUUCAUGAGAGCCGUGUCGCCAAACUACCGGAUCCUUCUCCGGCCACGGACUCUGAACCGCCUGCGCCCGUGCCUAUCGAAUCCGAUUGGGCGCCGAUCAUGGAGUUUACCUCCGCGGAUAUUUUCCAGCACUCGCCCUUCGGCGACAUACUGAACUCAUUAAGGUCUCUCUCCUUGUCAGGAGAAUCCUGGCCGAACUAUGUCCGGCAGGAUUAGGAUGCGGAUGACGAAGAAAUUCGCCGCCCACCCACCACCCACUUAGUAGCCACUGUCGAUGACCUAACCGACACGCUCGACUUCGACUCCGAAGACUUCGACGGUAUGGACGACGAUGCAGGAGUCAAAGAGGAACCACUGCUCAUAGGGCACUGGACGCCCACUUCAUCACAUGACGUAUACAUGGUGGACACACCCAAAGAAAAUAAUGACAAGGAACGGAAGGACGCAGCGACGAGUGGUUCCCUCGAGCAGCAGUCAAAGCGGCGGCGUAAAUGUCGCCCCAAAUCCUGCCCCGGCAGAAAUAACGAUCACAUAGACCCUGCAUUAGAGUAGGGUGAACAAUUGCCCGACCACGGUAACACGGAAAAUCAAGCCGAACAACCCAACCCCGUCGAAGAUAACAGUCCGGACGACAUCACACCAGACAUGCGCCAGGAGCAACGUAAUGCCCACCAAAGGCUUGUUGCCACGGCGAGGAGUCUGAAAAAAUAGAAGCAAAGGCUCAAGGAUGCACAAGACACACUCAAAAUAAAAUGGAAUGAAGUACUCAACACAGCAGCGAAGUACGACAGUAAUCGCCACACCAAGAGCUACCUGAAGCGGAAGUUGCUACCUGAAUUCGAUGAGGAGGCCUUAGAUCCCCUGCAACCAAAAAUUAAAAUGGCCAUCCGGCCGGAUAGACGACCUCACGGUCAACAUAAAGCGGCGAACAACGCCACACAUAAGGCAAUGCACGACCCACGCGAGGACUCGCAUCAAAAGGACGGCGCAACGAGAUCCAUUUAUGGACCACGCAAGCGCGCUCCAGCAUACGAUGCAAUACAACAAACAUCCGAACACCACGAUACACCCAGAUACAGGGGUGCCGCACACCCCCUAUGUUUCACCGAUGAGGUGCUGGACCAUGAAUUUCCAGAGAGAUUCAAACCCGUAAACAUAGAGGCAUACGACGGAACAACCAACCCUGGGGUCUGGAUUGAGGACUAUAUCCUCCAUAUCCAUAUGGCUCGAGGGGAUGAUCUCCACGCGAUCAAGUACUUACGCCUCAAGCUCAAAGGGCCAGCUCGGCACUGGCUUAAAAGCCUCCCCGAAAGCUCCAUUGGAAGCUGGGAAGAGCUCGAAGUACCAUCUCUGUAGCGACCAGACCCGAAUGGAUCAAGUCUACUGUGCUCCGGUGUCAUCCCUGGAUCAGUAAUGCUGACACCACACAGUACAUCGAAGGAUUUAUAGCAGAGUGGCAAUCACACACUUAUUACAUCGAUGUCUCCGAAGAGAACUUAUUACAACAAUAUGGCUUAAGGCCAUCUAAUAUCGAUAACAGUGGAAGACUUGGAAGAUAAAAGGGUCCAUCAACUCCAACGGCAUCACUGAAUAUAGAACCACGACCUAAAAGCACCUUAAUCGUCAUCUGAAAAGUCUGCAACAUUAAUGUUGCAGCCCGAAACGGGUCAGCACAUGGAAUAUGCUGGCAAUGUAACACAUAGAGAAUGAUGGAAUGAAACAGCUAUACUAUAUGCAUAUUUGGCUGGUGGAAAGCUCUAUGGUUACAGUUUUGCGUAAAGCCAGUUUCUCCCUACUGCAAAGGAAUAAAUUUACUAACUAUCAUGGUGGUUGUUAAACAUUGAGAAUGGUUGACAGCAUUCUCAAUCCCAAUUAAAAGUAAUCAUUAAUAACCCAACAAUAUUAAUUUAGAAGUAACAUGUUGAGAUUCACAUGAUAUUCAAGUACUAGAUACUCAAGUUGUCCAUAACCGGGGACACCGCUAAUCAUGAUUAGUUUAUUACAGUCUGCAGAGGUUUGCGCACUUUUCCCCACAAGACUCGAUCGCCUCCGUUGGAUUUCUCGCACUACUGGUGUUUGAGAAAUGGAUGACCGAGACAUAGUCUUUCAGAAGCGCUAGCACCUUACGAUGGAUAGACCGGUACACCUACUUUCCCCUACAUCUGCUAGUCUACCCUGUAAGAGUUCGCACGACUUAGUCAACUAUGCCAGAGCCCAUAUUGGCUUGUGGCUGCACACGUAAGUAUUUAGCAUGAAAGAUCUUAUGAUCCCUUUGAGCCUGGGUGGCGGUCCAAAAUAAAACAGGCAAGUCCAGAUAGACAUCACGUGCCUCAAUCCACCCAGAUGUGUGUUUAAGUUGCCACAUUAGAUAAACCCUUAAAAUUAUCACACUCACAUCUGUCAUGGAUAUCACUCACCCAAUCCACGUCUACUAGCAUAGCAUGGCAUAAUAAGCAAACGUAGAAGUAACUCCCAAAGGUUUCAUAAUAAACAGGUAAUAGGUACUACCUCAUCUACUUCCCAUCCCACAAUUUAAUUAGAUCCUAAUCAUGCAAUGUGUGAGGAUGGAUCUAAUGCAAUAAAACUGGGUUGUAGAAAAGGUAUGAUCAAAGUGUUACUUGCCUUGCUGAUGAUCCGCGAGUCCUAGAGAUUCGAAGUAACAGGCGGCGCAAUCCGGGUAAUCUAUCGCAGACAAACAACAAGCAUACAAAAGUACUCAUCUAAUGCAUAGGUAAAACUCGAACAAGAGAUCGAACCAGAUAGUUCAACUUAAGAACUCCGGUUGCAAAGAGAGAAAGAACCGAACAAAGAAACCGAAAACAAACGGCGGAAAACAACUCGGUUCUAGCAAGUUGAAACUAGGUCAAAUUUUACCAUAGCAAAAACUUGUUUAAGUUGAUUAGUCGGAACGGCGGUUUCGAAACGAAACUCCAGGCGCUUGAAUUACCUGAUUCCGAUAAACGAGCGAGAAGAUAGACUAGAACGAAGAUCGGAUCUGAGAUCGCGAUCGCGGAAUAAAUCCGACAAAAAGAAAAAGAAGAACGGUUAAACGAACGGACGUUCGUUAACCUAGAAUAAUCCGGUGAUCACGCUCGUUAAGACGAACAGUCCGGCAAACGGUCUCUAGGCAACUAAAUCAGAAAAGAAAACGAAUCUGAUCUAGGGUUUCGGAAGAAAACCGAACGAAAAACUGAUCUAGAAAACCGGAACGGUUUAGAGAAGAACCGGAAAGAAAACGAAUCAGACGAGAAGAAAAGAAUCGGAACGGUUUAUAAGAAAAGCCGAACCGAGGGGAUAGAAGAGAUGCGGCGCGGCUACCUCGGCGAGGUUCCGGCGAGGGGCUCCGGCGGCGGCGAGCAAGGGCGGCGGCGGNNNNNNNNNNNNNNNNNNNNNNNNNNNNNNNNNNNNNNNNNNNNNNNNNNNNNNNNNNNNNNNNNNNNNNNNNNNNNNNNNNNNNNNNNNNNNNNNNNNNNNNNNNNNNNNNNNNNNNNNNNNNNNNNNNNNNNNNNNNNNNNNNNNNNNNNNNNNNNNNNNNNNNNNNNNNNNNNNNNNNNNNNNNNNNNNNNNNNNNNNNNNNNNNNNNNNNNNNNNNNNNNNNNNNNNNNNNNNNNNNNNNNNNNNNNNNNNNNNNNNNNNNNNNNNNNNNNNNNNNNNNNNNNNNNNNNNNNNNNNNNNNNNNNNNNNNNNNNNNNNNNNNNNNNNNNNNNNNNNNNNNNNNNNNNNNNNNNNNNNNNNNNNNNNNNNNNNNNNNNNNNNNNNNNNNNNNNNNNNNNNNNNNNNNNNNNNNNNNNNNNNNNNNNNNNNNNNNNNNNNNNNNNNNNNNNNNNNNNNNNNNNNGGUGAGGGGGAGGGUUUGCUUGGGGGAGGGGGCAAGAAAUAAGAGAAGGAGAAGGAAAGAGGAAACGGAGUCCAAGAAGGACUCUAGGGCGGCGGCGGCCUUGGGCGCCUGCGCGGCUGCGCGCGCGCGAUGGGGAGGAGCCGGCCUGGCCGGCGGCUUGGGCCUUGGCCCAGGCGCUGCGGGAUUUUUUUAAACGGUUACGCGCGUAGAAAAACAAAAGAAAAGAGAACUAAACGAACUCCAAAACUUCUAAAGUAAAUUUUCCCCGACUCCUAAAAAUGAGUCGAACAAAAUGAACUUUUCUCCGGGCCUAAAAUGCAAAUUUUGAAAACGCUCAUUUUCCCUAUCCAAAUAAAAGGCAAAUGAAACUCCGACAAAAACCAAUGAUGCUCUUUUCGAAAUUUGAGAAAAACACAAAUAUGAAAAUAACGAAAUCUCCAACUCUCUCCGAGGGUCCUUGAGUUGCGUGAAAUUUGUAGGAUCGACCAAAAUGCAAGAAAAUAUGAUAUGCAAGAUGAUCUAAUGUAUAACAUUCCAAAUUGAAAAUUUGGGAUGUUACAAACCUAACCCCCUUAAGAUGAAUCUCGCCCUCGAGAUUCGGGUUGGCUAGAAAAUAGGUGAGGGUGGUCCUUGAGCAAAUCUUCUUCUCUCUCCAAGGUGGCUUCAUCCUCUGAGUGGUGGUUCCACUGAACUUUGCAAAACUUGAUAACCUUGCUGCGGGUAACUCUGCUGGCAUAAUCGAGAAUCUUGACUGGUUUCUCUUCAUACGUGAAGUCGUCCUUCAAGUGAAUCGCUUCUAGCGGCACUGUAUCUCUUAACGGUACCUUCAACUUUGUCCCAUGACAACGGUGUCCUUCACCUCCUUCCGUAUAAAGCUUCGAAAGGUGCCAUCUUCAAACUGGUUUGGUAACUGUUGUUAUAAGAAAACUCCGCAUACGGCAAGUUAUCAUCCCAACUAGAUCCAUAAUCUAGUGCACAAGCUCUCAGCAUAUCUUCCAAAAUCUGAUUGACCCUCUCGGUCUAUCCAUCUGUCUGCGGAUGAAAAGCGGUGCUGAACUCUAGCCUAGUUCCCAAAGUUUCAUGCAACUGAUUCCAAAACUUUGAGGUAAAUUGGGUUCCUCUGUCUGAUACAAUACUCCUUGGAACUCCAUGCAAACAAAUGAUCCUAGUCAUGUAUAUCUUUGCCAACUUAGCACUGGUGUAAGUGGUCUUAGCUGGAAUGAAAUAUGCUACCUUCGUCAAACGAUCAACUACUACCCAUAUCGAGUCAUAUCCUGCUUUCGUCCUGGGUAGUCCUGUGAUAAAAUCCAUGCCUAUCUUAUCCCACUUCCAUUCGGGUAUCGGCAAUGGUUGCAACAAUCCGGCUGGCUUCUGAUGUUCUGCCUUUACUCUAUGACAUACGUCACAAACUGCUACAUAUGCUGCAAUAUCCUUCUUCAUUCCGGUCCACCAGAAUGUUUCCUUUAAAUCCAAAUACAUCUUGGUAUUUCCUGGGUGAAUCGAAUAUGGUGAAUCAUGUGCCUCUUGUAGAAUCAACUUCCUGAUCUCCGGGUCAUUUGGCACAUAAACACGGUCCUCAAACCAUAGGGUAUCGUGCUCAUCCUUACGAAAUCCCUUUUGCUUUUCCUUUGCUCAGUUUCUCCUUUAUGGAAGCAAUCUCCUUGUCAGAUUUCUGAGCUUCUCUGAUUUUAUCCAUCAAUGUUGACUGAAUCUCCAAUGCUGCUACAUAGCCUUUUGGAACUAGUUCUAAACUUAGUUCAUGAAGGUUUUUUGCUAACUCCUUGGGUAUUCCUCCUGUCAUUACCAUAUUCACAUGGCUCUUACGGCUCAAUGCGUCAGCUACAACAUUAGCUUUUCCGGGAUGGUAAUGCAAUCUCAUAUCAUAAUCCUUGAUGAGCUCCAACCAUCUCCUUUGUCUGAGGUUCAACUCCUUCUGAGUGAAAAUGUACUUCAAACUCUUGUGAUCCGUGUACACUUCACAAUGAUUUCCAAUGAGGAAAUGUCUCCAUGUCUUCAAUGCAUGCACUACGGCUGCUAACUCUAAAUCAUGUGUGGCAUAAUUCAACUCAUGAGGCUUCAGUUGUCGUGAAGCAUACGAAACAACUCUUCCUUCCUGCAUAUGCACUGCUCCAAGUCCUCGACGUGAAGCGUCGCAAUACACCUCAUAAUCCUUGGUCUGAUCUGACAAAAUCAACACUGGUGAGGUAACCAAUCGUUCCUUCAACUCCUAGAAACUAGCCUCACACUCCUCGGUCCAUUUGAACUUAGUAUCCUUCUUCAACAACUCCGUCAUAGGCUUCGCAAUCUUUGAAAAUUUAUCAAUGAAUCUUCGGUAGUAUCCUGCGAGUCCAAGAAAACUCCGGAUCUCUCCAACUAUCGUUGGUGCCUCCCAUUCGGUUACGGUCUCAACCUUGGUGGGGUCAACUGCUAUCCCUUCUCCGGAUAUAACAUGUCCAAGAAAUCCUACUUCCUUCAACCAAAACUCACAUUUGCUAAAUUUGGCAUUUAACUGAUGUUCCCUUAGUUUCUCCAAAACCAAAUGCAAAUGUUCCUUAUGCUCCUCUUCAUUCUUCGAAUAAACCAGGAUAUCAUCAAUGAACACUACGACGAACUUAUCCAAAAACUCCAUAAACACUUUGUUCAUCAGGUUCAUAAAAUAGGCAGGUGCGUUAGUCAAUCCAAAUGACAUAACGGUAUACUCAUACAGUCCAUAUCUUGUGGUGAAUGUUGUCUUGGGAAUAUCCGGUUCUCGAAUCUUCAAUUGGUGGUACCCUGAUCGCAAAUCAAUCUUGGAAAACACUUUAGCUCCUUGCAAAUGAUCAAACAGAUCAUUAAUCAUUGGCAGUGGGUACUUGUUCUUGAUGGUUACUUCAUUCAAUCCACGGUAAUCAACAACCAUCCGUAAUGAUCCAUCCUUCUUCUCCACUAGAAGUACGGGUGAUCCCCAAGGCGAAGAACUUGGGCUUAUGUAACCUUUCUCCAAUAACUCCUUAAUCUGAUUCUUAAUUUGUACCAAAUCCUUUGCAGGCAUCCGGUACGGUCUCUUUGAUAUUGGGCCUGUACCUGGCAAUAACUCAAUCAAAAACUCAAUGUCUCUAUCUGGUGGCAUGCCUGGCAAUUCUUCGGGAAAUACAUCAGGAAAAUCCUUUACCACUGGUACUUCCUCCUGCACGACUCCUGUCAGGCAAUUCACUUGUGUCCUAUUUGGCACAUGCCGGGAUACAUACUUGAUCCUUCUUCCUUCUAGUGUUGUAAGCAAAAUUGUCUUACUAGCACAAUCGAUGUUUCCUCCAUACGUCGACAACCAAUCCAUACCGAGGAUUACAUCCAGUCCUUGGGAUUCCAGAAUAAUUAAAUCUGUUGGGAAAACAUGCCUUCCUAUGCUUAAUGGCACUUGAAAGCAUCCGUGACUGGCCAUGUAUUCUGCUCCUGGCGAGCUUACUAGCAUAGGUGUUUGAAGAAUCCUAGUGGGCAGGCUAUAUUUUUCCACAAAUCCCCUUGAUAUAUAUGAAUGUGAUGCACCAGUAUCGAAAAGAACGAGUGCGGUAAAUGACUUAACCAAAAACUUACUGAUUACUGCAUCAGGCUGAUCUUCAACCUCCUCCACGCUAACGUGGUUCACCUGUCCCCUAUUGAAAGGGUUCGGCUUCUUCCCUGAGCUUCCAUUGCCAUUUCCAUUCUGGCCUUCAGGACAUUCAUUGGCAUAAUGUCCGGUCUUGGAACACUUGAAACGGGUGACUUGGCUCAGGUCUCUCUUGGAUGGGGUUGAUGGGGUGGUACGGUUCUGGCCGUUGCUUCCUCCAUUCCCAUUACCAUUCUUGUGGCCAUUGUGGUUGUGCGAACUACCUCCUCCAUGGGUAUGCUGAAACUGAAAUCCCGAUUUAGGGGUAAAACGGGGCUUCUGCUGGGCUCCAGAGUUAUACUUCACCUGUCCAUACUUCCUCUUGUGGUUCUCAAUCUACUGUUGCUUCCCUUCAAUCAUGAUGGCACGAUCUAGCAACUCUUGGUAGUUGUUGAAACUUGGUACCAUCAACUGCAUGCUUAACUCAUCAUUCAAUCCUUCCAGGAACUUCUCCUGCUUAGUUGCAUCUGUAGCAACGUCAUCUGGGGCAUAACGUGCUAACUUGCUGAAGUCGUCAACAUACUGGCCAACUGUCCUUCCUCCUUGGCGUAAGUUGCGAAACUCACGCUUCUUCAUGGCCAUAGCUCCUGCUGAAACAUGUGUAGUGCGGAAAGCUUGCUGAAACUGAUCCCAUGUGACAGUGUCAACUGGGAAGGUGGCUGUGAAAUUCUCCCACCAUGCUGCCGCGGGUCCUUCUAACUGAUGUGCGGCAAACUUCACUUUCUCACCAUCUGUGCAUGCUGCAGUGGUCAACUCCCUUCCUAUCUUGCGGAGCCAAUCGUCUGCUACUAUUGGCUCGAUGCUACUAGAAAAUACCGGAGGAUUUAGCCUAAGGAAAUGGGCUAAGUGGUCAACAGGUGGUGGUGGUGGUGGUGGGUUGUUGUUGUUGUUCUGCUGAUUCUGGACUAACAUCUGCAUCAAUUGAUUCUGCUGCUGGAUCAACUGAGUGAGCUCCGGUGGAAAUCCAGUGUCACGUCUCGGAGGCAUCUGAGGGUUUAGAAAAGAAGAGAUAUAAGAAUAGAAUGAGGUCUAAAGAGAAAACACUACCCCAAUGCACAUGAGCAAAUUCACA